rnacentral:rRNA from 1 species
GACGAACGCUGGCGGCGUGCUUAACACAUGCAAGUCGAACGGAAAGGCCCUGCUUGUGGGGGGUGCUCGAGUGGCGAACGGGUGAGUAACACGUGAGUAACCUGCCCUUGACUUUGGGAUAACGUCAGGAAACUGGGGCUAAUACCGGGUAGGAGCUCCUGCUGCAUGGUGGGGGUUGGAAAGUUUCGGCGGUUGGGGAUGGACUCGCGGCUUAUCAGCUUGUUGGUGGGGUAGUGGCUUACCAAGGCUUUGACGGGUAGCCGGCCUGAGAGGGUGACCGGCCACAUUGGGACUGAGCUACGGCCCAGACUCCUACGGGAGGCAGCAGUGGGGAAUAUUGCACAAUGGGCGGAAGCCUGAUGCAGCAACGCCGCGUGCGGGAUGACGGCCUUCGGGUUGUAACCCGCUUUCGCCUGUGACGAAGCGUGAGUGACGGUAAUGGGUAAAGAAGCACCGGCUAACUACGUG